rnacentral:rRNA from 1 species
ACGGCUCAGUAACACGUAGCUAACCUACCCUUAAGUCAAGAAUAACCUCGGGAAACUGAGGAUAAAUCUUGAUAAAAAAUAUUUUCUGGAAUGAGAUAUUUUUGAAACUCGGGCUUAAGGAUGGGGCUGCGGCUGAUUAGGUUGUUGUUGGUGUAAUGGACUUACAAGCCGAUGAUCAGUAAGGGUUCUUAGCGGAAGAGCCCUGAGAGGGAAUCUGAGACACUAUUCCCAGCUCUACGGGGUGCAGCAGUCGAGGAAGUUUUACGAUGCUCGAAAGAGUGAUAAAAUAAGCCAGAGUGUUUCUCCUUGAGAAACUUUUGUCUGUUGUAAAAAGACAGGCGAAUAAGGACUGGGCAAGAUCGGUGCCAGCCGCCGCGGUAAUCCCGACGCUCCAAGUCGCAGCCACAAUUAUUGGGUCUAAAACAUUCGUAGCUUGUUUUGACAGUUCCUUGUGAAAUCUUAACUCUUAAGGUUAAGGCGUGCAAGGAAUACUACAAAACUAGAGACCGGAAGAAGUAAGAAGUAUGAUCGAGGUAGUGAUAAAAUACGUUAAUCUUGAUCAGACUAACAAUGGCGAAGGCACUUUGCAAGUACGGAUCUGACAGUGAGGGAUGAAGGCUAGGGGCGCGAAAGGGAUUAGAUACCCCUGUAGUCCUAGCAGUAAACACUGUUCACUAAACAUUAGUAUCUCUUAGAGAGGUAUUAGUGCUGUAGGGAAGCCGAAGAGUGAACUACCUGGGAAGUAUAGUCGCAAGGCCGAAACUUAAAGGAAUUGGCGGGGGAGCAC